GUUUAUCUUCAGGGCAGGGUGAAAUUCCUGACCGGUGGUAAUAGUCCACGAGCUGUUAAGCUGAACUGGUGAAAUUCCAGUACCGACGGUAUAGUCCGGAUGAGAGAAGAUGAAG
rnacentral:ncRNA from 2 species